rnacentral:rRNA from 1 species
AAUACAUGCAAGUCGAACGAACUCUGGUAUUGAUUGGUGCUUGCAUCAUGAUUUACAUUUGAGUGAGUGGCGAACUGGUGAGUAACACGUGGGAAACCUGCCCAGAAGCGGGGGAUAACACCUGGAAACAGAUGCUAAUACCGCAUAACAACUUGGACCGCAUGGUCCGAGUUUGAAAGAUGGCUUCGGCUAUCACUUUUGGAUGGUCCCGCGGCGUAUUAGCUAGAUGGUGGGGUAACGGCUCACCAUGGCAAUGAUACGUAGCCGACCUGAGAGGGUAAUCGGCCACAUUGGGACUGAGACACGGCCCAAACUCCUACGGGAGGCAGCAGUAGGGAAUCUUCCACAAUGGACGAAAGUCUGAUGGAGCAACGCCGCGUGAGUGAAGAAGGGUUUCGGCUCGUAAAACUCUGUUGUUAAAGAAGAACAUAUCUGAGAGUAACUGUUCAGGUAUUGACGGUAUUUAACCAGAAAGCCACGGCUAACUACGUGCCAGCAGCCGCGGUAAUACGUAGGUGGCAAGCGUUGUCCGGAUUUAUUGGGCGUAAAGCGAGCGCAGGCGGUUUUUUAAGUCUGAUGUGAAAGCCUUCGGCUCAACCGAAGAAGUGCAUCGGAAACUGGGAAACUUGAGUGCAGAAGAGGACAGUGGAACUCCAUGUGUAGCGGUGAAAUGCGUAGAUAUAUGGAAGAACACCAGUGGCGAAGGCGGCUGUCUGGUCUGUAACUGACGCUGAGGCUCGAAAGUAUGGGUAGCAAACAGGAUUAGAUACCCUGGUAGUCCAUACCGUAAACGAUGAAUGCUAAGUGUUGGAGGGUUUCCGCCCUUCAGUGCUGCAGCUAACGCAUUAAGCAUUCCGCCUGGGGAGUACGGCCGCAAGGCUGAAACUCAAAGGAAUUGACGGGGGCCCGCACAAGCGGUGGAGCAUGUGGUUUAAUUCGAAGCUACGCGAAGAACCUUACCAGGUCUUGACAUACUAUGCAAAUCUAAGAGAUUAGACGUUCCCUUCGGGGACAUGGAUACAGGUGGUGCAUGGUUGUCGUCAGCUCGUGUCGUGAGAUGUUGGGUUAAGUCCCGCAACGAGCGCAACCCUUAUUAUCAGUUGCCAGCAUUAAGUUGGGCACUCUGGUGAGACUGCCGGUGACAAACCGGAGGAAGGUGGGGAUGACGUCAAAUCAUCAUGCCCCUUAUGACCUGGGCUACACACGUGCUACAAUGGAUGGUACAACGAGUUGCGAACUCGCGAGAGUAAGCUAAUCUCUUAAAGCCAUUCUCAGUUCGGAUUGUAGGCUGCAACUCGCCUACAUGAAGUCGGAAUCGCUAGUAAUCGCGGAUCAGCAUGCCGCGGUGAAUACGUUCCCGGGCCUUGUACACACCGCCCGUCACACCAUGAGAGUUUGUAACACCCAAAGUCGGUGGGGUAACCUUUUAGGAACCAGCCGC